AGUGAACGCUGGCGGUAGGCCUAACACAUGCAAGUCGAACGGCAGCACAGGAGAGCUUGCUCUCUGGGUGGCGAGUGGCGGACGGGUGAGGAAUACAUCGGAAUCUACUCUGUCGUGGGGGAUAACGUAGGGAAACUUACGCUAAUACCGCAUACGACCUACGGGUGAAAGCAGGGGAUCUUCGGACCUUGCGCGAUUGAAUGAGCAGAUGUCGGAUUAGCUAGUUGGCGGGGUAAAGGCCCACCAAGGCGACGAUCCGUGGUUGGUCUGAGAGGAUGAUCAGCCACACUGGAACUGAGACACGGUCCAGACUCCUACGGGAGGCAGCAGUGGGGAAUAUUGGACAAUGGGCGCAAGCCUGAUCCAGCCAUACCGCGUGGGUGAAGAAGGCCUUCGGGUUGUAAAGCCCUUUUGUUGGGAAAGAAAUCCAGCUGGCUAAUACCCGGUUGGGAUGACGGUACCCAAGGAAUAAGCACCGGCUAACUUCGUGCCAGCCGCCGCCGUAA
rnacentral:rRNA from 1 species